UACAAUUUUUAAGUCACGUAUCCAAUUGUGUGCCACAAAUCAACCAAACCAUCACGACCACAGCCAGGACCACCAUAACCACCGCCACAACCAACCGUGACUCACAAAUUAUGAGUUACAAUUGGCUGGGAGUCACAAUCACAGUUUUCAGGUCACGGGUCCAAUUAUUUAUCAUAAAAUCAACCAAACCGCCGCAACCACCACAAUCCACCACGACAACCACUACCACAAACCACUGCAAAACAAUAUCAAACCGUCGCCGGUUUGCAACUGCAGUAACCGCUAUCACCACCAACCCCAACCCCAACGCCACCACCGUCAACAUCACAGUCAGAAGCACUAUCUUCUGUACCAAAAAUAACAAACACUAUCUCAAAUUACACCACAAUCACCACAUUCAACAAAAAAUGCCCAAAUCACCACUCCAACAGCGACGUCGCCGCCUCACCUCUCCGCACAGUGGCAGUGGGCCUCAGCUGAACCGGUAGAUCUAUUGUAACCAGUUGAGCCACCGACGAUGACGGGCGCUUGCAAUGACGACUGGAGCUGCUCCAUCGUCGGCUGUCGAAUCUGAAUAGAUGAAAGGAGAGAGGAGGAGAGAGGGGCGAGCAGCACACCAGUUGAGCCACCGACCGCUUGUCCGGCGACGACGGGUGCUUGCGGUGACGACCGACCGAAGCAGCUCCAUCGCCAGCUGUCGAAUCUGAAAUGAUGAAACUAGAGAGGAAGAGAGAGGGGCGAGCUUGUAUAAAAUUUGUAUUAUAAUAUUUAACUUUUUGAACAAUGAAACCUUCCCUUUGAUUUUAGAAUUUUUAUUGGGGUGAAAUUUCCACUUCACUAGCCAUGAGAAAACCCAAAUCCAAGAUCCCUCUCUUCGCAAUUAUCACUCAACGCUCUGCCUCUCUUGAUUAGCCCUAAAUUCCAAUCUUUGGUCGCGGCUGUUGAAUCAAACGAGCUCUCCAACUGCCCAAAUCGUCAUCGCUGGUCGCCAAUCUUUAGUUUUUGGGAUUCUUUUAUUAGGGUAAGAUUUCUGCUUGAAUUACCCUUUAUCUCUUCUUUGUCGGUCAGAUUCUCACCUCUAUUGAAUUGGAUUUUGUUGCUAUUGUUUAUUUCAAGAAUUGCGGUCAAGCAUAUGUAGUCAUCCUUUCACUGUGGGCAAAUCCAUUUGUGUGUUACUUGUGGAGAUUGCUAGCUUUUACCCAGUCCAUUUGGAUUAGCAAAUCCAGCCCCCAUGAUUCAAACAUUUUAUUCCAAGGAUCAGGUUUUUAAUGAUGUUAAACUUGAUGGCAUUGUUAUGCUGGUGGAUGCUAAACAUGCUGUUUUGCACCUUGAUGAGAUUAAGCCUAAAGGUGGAGUAAAUGAGGCAGUAGACAAAUUGCUUAUGCUGACCGAAUUAUAGUAAACAAGGUACAUUUUUAUCUUCAUAGCAUGUAAUAAGUUUGGUACGCGUUUCCCCAACAAAGUAUAACUGAAAGCUCUGCAAACAAUGACAAUAUCUAGUUUAUCGGCAUUUCUGUUUUAUAAUCUGGAUUCUUAUCCUGCUUCAAUAAUCUUGUAAUGCAGCUACUAUAAGAUCUAUUAGGCCAAAUGGAAAAUCAUUUUUCUAGCUAUUUGAUUGCUAUUUGUACACCUACCGGUACAUCUUCUACUAAUUUCGCAACGUGCUUUGUAAAGAAAACCCUGGACGGUUGUUCUGCAUCUUGCAUAUGGUGAGAUACUUGGCAUUCUAAAGUUCAACUUGAUGAUUUCCAUUGUGAUCGUAGACUGAUCUUGGUGGUGAACCAGAGAUUGCUUUUAUAUGUGUGCUUUGUAAAGAAAACUCGUAAGGAAAAUGUGUAAAUUAUAAAUAGUAUCAUUUUUGUAUUGUCAUAAUAUUGAUUUAUAUUUUUAUCA